UAUGUGAUCGUCUCUCGCAUAUCAAUAAGCGGAGGAAAAGAAACUAACAAGGAUUCCCCUAGUAACGGCGAGUGAAGCGGGAAGAGCUCAAAUUUGAAAUCUUAAAGGGUUUCCCUUUACGAAUUGUAGUUUAAAGAAGUGUUUUCUGUUGAGGUUUUGGUAAAAGUUCUUUGGAAUAGGACAUCAUAGAGGGUGAGAAUCCCGUAUUUGACCUUUACUUUCAACUUUGUGAUACACUUUCAAAGAGUCGGAUUGUUUGGGAGUGCAGUCCAAAAUGGGUGGUAAAUUUCAUCUAAAGCUAAAUAUUGGCGAGAGACCGAUAGCGAACAAGUACCGUGAGGGAAAGAUGAAAAGAACUUUGAAAAGAGAGUUAAACAGUACGUGAAAUUGUCAAAAGGGAAGCGUUUGACACCAGUGUUGUUUUUCUGAAAAUCAAUUAAAGAACUGUUUAUGCUAAGCUGUUUAGACUUUAUCAGCUAUCUGUUUAGUUUUGAGCUUUUCUUUAAUGCACUUUUCAGUUAACAAGUCAACAUCAAUUUCUUUUGCUGUAAAAAAGCUUGAGGAAGGUGGCUUGAGAUUCGUCUUAAGUGUUUAUAGCCUCUUGCCUAUGCAGUCGGAGAGAUUGAGGUCUGCAGCGUAGAUCCUUCGGGGCUAAAUGCAUUUGUGCUAAGUUAUAGCAUUUUAUAGACAACUUGUUGACUAUGAUUUGUCUUGUAGCUUACUCGCUUAUGUUAUUUUACCUACGCUUAGGAUGUUGAUCUACAGAGCGAGAGU
rnacentral:rRNA from 1 species